ensembl:snRNA U6 U6 spliceosomal RNA
GUGCUCCUUCCUUCCCCAGCACUGUACAAAAAUCAAACAACACAGAGAUUAGCACGGCCUCUAUGCAAGGAUGACAUGGAAUUUUGCAAAACAGUCCGUAUUAAA